rnacentral:lncRNA from 1 species
UCUUCUCCUCACUUCUUCUUUCUCCUCACGUCCUCCUCACACCUUCCUUCCUCCUCCCCCUUCUCUUCUCGCUCUCCUCCUCACCUUUCUCUUCUCCUCACCUCCUUCGCUCUCACUCCUCCUUCACCCUCUCUUCUCCUCCCUCUCCUCCUUCACCCUUCUCUUCUCCUCACUUCUCCUCCUCACCCUUCCCUCCUCUCCAUCAUCUCAUUUUUGUUCCGCACCUUCGUUUUCACGUUCAUCUUUCUUUCCAUGAAAUUUUGCUAUCAUUCAACCCGGUUUUCAUCCAUUUUAUCAUUCAUGCUCAUUUGGCCCUGGUCUUUCUCCCACCACUUUAUCAAUGUCCUCCCUUUGCCCCGUUCCACACAAACCACUGCAUUUCAGUCUAAAUAAGUGUUUAUUGCAUUCAAUUCCUGUGACAACAGUGCCUUGUGAAAUGUGGAAACUUGCUGUUUCCCAUUUGUCCCAACUUCUCCUUAGGACAUCGGAAAACACUUGGCAUGCACACCUCUUCUGGAAAACAUUUGGCAUGCACACCUCUUCUGGAAAACACUUGGCAUGCACACCUCUUCUGGAAAACCAUUGGCAUGAGACCUCUUCUGGAAACACUUGGCAUGCACACCUCUUCUGGAAACAUUGGCAUGCACACUCUUCUGGAAAACAUUUGGCAUGCACACCUCCUUCUGGAAAAACACUGGCAUGGUCACCUCUUCUGGUAAAUGUGCUCCUUUUCGUCAAGUUGUUUGAGGAUCCUUGAUGGCAGUAACAGUAAAACAAGAGUGAAAUCUUUAAUGGUGAAACUGCUUCGUCUGUUGUGAUUAGUAACAACAACAAAAGUUACUGCAAGAACAAACACUUUUUAUUUAUUUAAAUCAGACAUUGCUCACAAUAUGCACAGCAAUAUCUUUACAACGCUGCGACGUGCCUCGGCAACAAAACCAUAAUGGUGGUGAGGGGGCGGCCAGCAGUUCCGUUUUCCUUACAAUGGAUUACAUCUAAGUCAGCGCUGUAACUAGGCCACUUGGGACCGUCCCUUAAACCAGCAAGUGUAAAGCAUUCCAAACGUAGUCCAAUGUAUUGGGCCUGCGUCUCAGAGUAGGAGUGUUGUUUUAGGUCAGUUUAGCCUUUUAAAGCAUAAUGAAUAAGGCAUGGACCUAGAUCAGCCCUCCUGUACGAUAAAACAACUCUUAAAUGCAUAAAAAGGGAAAGAAUGGCAUAAAGAGUUAACAAAAACAAAGGUCAAAGUCAGUUUAAAUAGACUACCGUGGUUCAACCACCUCUCUACCUCACAGUUAAUAAAUUCAUCUGGAACUUUCUUGUGGCUCCACCAACUGAGUGGCCUGCGCUGUCAUAACAGACCAAAGUCCUGCAGUACGGGACAGGGAGGAGCUACUGCUUUGGUGAGCUCACCAGUGUUUAGGGAUUUGAUUGAGGUUGGGUCAGUUUACCCUCAUCGGACUGUCAAUGGGAUGCACGCCAGUCAAGUUCCUUUAGUUGCACCCUCACAGAUCUGAACCCUGCCCUCUGUAGGUGUUGUUAGACUGCUGGCCAUCCAUAAUCCAUUCUGGCACCUUAGCCAAUCACUGCCCCGCGGGCCUGACCAAAAAAACAAGGAAGGAUGGGUAGAGAGGAGGGUGAGGGAUGUUGACAUUUUCCUCUAUUACUAGUGGGUAACAGCUCUGAGUUUAGCUGGUGGUGUUUAUGAGAUAGACAGUCUCUAGGCGUGGUGUUGUUUUAUGGAUAGACCAGUCUCUAGGCUGGUGUUGUGUUUUUGAGAUAGACCAGUCUUGGCGGUGUUGUUUCUGAGAUAGACAUCUCUAGGCUGGUGUUGUUUUCUGAGAUAGACAGUCUCUAGGCUGGUGUUUUUAUGAGAUAGACCAGUCUCUAGGCUGGUGUUGUUUUAUGAGAUAGACAGUCUCUAGGCCGGUGUUGUUUCUGAGAUAGACCAGUCUCUAGGCUGGUGUUGUUUUCUGAGAUGACCAGUCUCUAGGCUGGUGUUGUUUUAUGAGAUAGACCAGUCUUAGGCUGGUGUGUUUUCGAGAUAGACCAGUCUCUAGGCUGGGUGUUUUAUGAGAUAGACAGUCUCUUAGGUUGUUUUAUGAGAUAGACCAGUCUCUAGGCGGUUUUGUUUCUGAGAUAGACCAGUCUCUAGGUGGUUGUUUUCUGAGAGUAGACAGUCUCUAGGCUGGUGUUGUUUAUGAGAUAGACCAGUCUGUAGGCCGUGUUGUUUAUGAGAUAGACCAGUCUCUAGGCCGGUGUGUGGGCUUGGUGCUGACCGAACUUCAUGGAACCCUUGUACAGACUGCUGAGGCCCACCUGAUCUAUAGUAAAACACUGAUGCUGGAUCCUAAACUGGCCCUACCCCUAACCCCUACACCCUAGUCAGGAAC